rnacentral:lncRNA from 1 species
CACUGUAUCAGAUUUUUUUUUAAUUCCAUGGAAGAAAUGAGGUUGAACUUUAUCAUUUUAAUAUCCCCACCCAUUUGUUACUAAGCAGAAUAAAUAUCCCUGCCCAUUUAUUACUAAGCAAAAUUUAUUACUGUGGCAGAAGUGGCCAGAUACAAAACUUAUUAGGAGAAUGGAUUUGUGUCCUCAGGGAGCUGACAAAAUCACUGUGGGGUCUGUUAGCAUAUAUUAGUCAUUUUUAUUAUUGAUGCUGAUUUGGGGGGAAACGGGGGAUUCCAAGAUUCACUUUGUGUGACCUGUAACUGAAAACUUUCCAAAAGUGGGUGAUAAUGUUUAUGGUUACUCAUUGGAACUGUAUUGCUCCAGCACCUAUACAUCCUGGGCCUCGCAUUACACAUGAUUCAUGUGAUUCUCUCAGCAUUUUACUGACCGAUGAUGAAAUCUCGGGGUGGUCAGUUACUUGCUCAGGGUUCCAUGCGUAGAGGCUCCCCAAGUGGAAGCCACGAUCCACCUGGCCGCACCCCACACUGUUUUUCACUUAAUUCUACUCAGAAGCAAAACUGCUGAUAAAUGAUGUGGUGGCCCUUACUUAGGUCUAAUUGCUGGGCUCUGUUUCACGUGCUUUAUUUGAGUCAUCUCAUUUUAUCCUCAUACCAUCCUGUACGUACCGCCAUUAUCCCCAUUUUUGUAGAUGAAGAAAUAGAGUCCAGGGAAGCAGGCCAUAAGAAUGGGACCAGGCUCGGAGCCCAGGCAGUCUGUGCUGUUGGCCACCCUAUGCUACAAGUGGGGAGAAACAAACACAGACACAGGUACGGCAGCCUGUUUCCCUUCCCUGUAAAAAUAGAGGCUUGUGUUAGGGCCCCUUUAAAGUCCUUUUUGAAACUAAAAGCCUAUGGCUCUCUAAGUAGGUGGACAAAAUACAGCUUUCCUUGUAUGUCUCCACCGUGUUAGUGACCUGCUGAAAAAUGGCCAUCAUGUGAAUUUGUACUUAGGCCUCAUUUAUCCAAUUUUGGGGAAAGGGAUGAGGAUGGAGGCCCAACAGAGCAAUUUGAAGCAUGUGAUCAGCUUCUCCCUCAGGACUUAGUCCUGGAGAGCUGGUUCUCUUCCUAAACUCGGACAGCUGCAUUGUGGACCGAGAGGCUCCCCCAGCUGGAUUUCUUCUCCCACAGCUUUCCUGUACACACUGCUCCUUAGAGAAACUGCAGAUGAUUGCUUGUUGUGCAAAGUGGACACCUGGACUUGGAGCGAAGGAGGGAUGAUUGUUUGGAGCAAGUGUGUAUCUAAAGAUUUCCCAAUUUUCCCCACGGAGCCUUUGAAUGUGUUGUUGGUCAUGGCUCAUUGGUUGGUCUACAGAAUGAAAAAAAAAAAAUGGUUUUUGAAACUUUGAGCUUUCCACAAUAAUCAUGAGAAUUCAUUUAAAAAGUAGUUUUUGUCUUUUACUUAAAUUCAAGGGGACAAAGGGACCUAAAGCUGAUCAUGUGCACUCUGAUGCUACAGACAAGGAAGUCGAAGAUCAGAGAGGUGGCCGGGCCACGCUUAAGGAGCUCUGGAUAAUGGAUAAUCUAUUCCAAGGGUCCCAUCUACCCCUGAACCUUUACUCUGAAUUUGGUAUGACACAUAUUUCUUGGAGGAGAGGGUUUAUGGCAGGCAUUGGAAACUCAUGGUUCUACAGAUAAUGCACAUGAGUGAUGCCGUCAGGUGGAGGGCAGUUGGGACUGGUGGAGAGUGAGGCCAACUGAACACUCUGUACUCCAUUCUAAGGAAAAGCUGCUGCUUAGUAUCAGUCAUUACCAUGGGGUCAUGCUGGCCUCAUAUUGUCAGGCCUUUAAACUUUUUAGGAGAAGUGCGUUUUCAGGACGUUGUGUAAACCAUUUCAAUUUCAUAUUGUCAAUUCAUGCAAAGAUUUUUUUUUUUAAAUUAGUGCAGGCCAACAACAACAUGAUGUUGGAUUGGAUAUCAACUAUGGGCCACAUAUUUGCAAACACAGAUCUGUAACUCUCAUCAGAUUCUAGAGAGAAACCAUGAUGCCAAAAACGUGGGGAAACACCAGCUUUGCUACUGACGGCUGCGGCACUUGGUGACGGGCUUUCUUCUGCUUAUUUUCCCAUUGAAUUAUAUGAUGAUUUAAGAAAAAAAUCAUCCAAACCUGGAGUUGUAUUUAAGUCAGUUGAAGCAACUCCUCCUUUACUGAAUAUUACUCAUAUUUAUGACAAUGUCCCUUAUUGUGUGUCCCUAUGUCCGUUGCACUUGCAGCCUUGCUGAUUUCUGUAUUAAUAUCCAUACCUUCUUUCCUAGUGACAAAUACCCAUCUGUGAAGGGGUGAGGCCUUGGACAGAGGUCACUGCAGCUCUAAAUAAGUAUUAGAGCCAUGUCAAACUCAGUUAAAUAAGAGAGAUUGGAAGUGGGGGGUCUGGGGAAAGGGAACCGAUUUGUGUUUCGUGGGGAGGGAGGAGGAGUAUUCCUUCCAGAAAGAUGGGAGAAAUGAAUGUGAAUUGAGAGAAACUGGAAAUUUUAUCGCUGCAGAUAAAUCUCUGCUGCACUUUCCAAAUCCAGGGCCUUAGCUGUAACAUAAAGAUGAUAGUGUGUCGUCGAGUGUAUUGAAACUCCCUCAGAUGUUUAUUUGAAGUUCAGUGUUAAUAAAAUACAUAGAUGCUUCUCUCUCUCUCUCUCUUUUUUUUUUUUCUUCCUUUUUAUGGCUGUGCCUGUGACAUACAGAAGUUCCCAGGCUAGGAGUUGAAUUAGAGCUGCAGUUGCAGGCCUAUGCCACAUCCAUGGCAAUGCCAGAUCCGAGCCUCAUCUGCAACCUACUCCUCAGUUGUGGUAACGCUGGAUCCUUAACCCACUGAGAGAGGCCAGGGAUCGAACCUGCGUCCUCAUGGAGACUGUGUCAGGUCCUUAACCCGCUGAGCCACAGUGAGAACUCCCAUAGACGCUUCUCUUUAUUUCCUUUGCCCUCCCACCUCUCCCUCUCUUUCUUAAUUUAUCCCCCUUUUCAGAGAAGGCGCUGUAUGGCUCCUUGCUCUGGGUUGUGCCAUAUUUAAAAGUGUCCUGGGAUUAGGGACCAUUUUCACUUAAGAAAAGAAAUCCUGAGUUUAAGGACAGGGGCAUUUGUAUUGCAACUUUGUAAUGAGGUAGGUUUUAGCUCACUUGUCAAAAGGACUUUAUUUAUCGGUCUUAAAAGUACUAAGUAACUUGUCAUUACUUCUAUAACAGUGGGAGAUAAUUAAAUCCUCCAUGCUUUAAGGAAUCAAGCCAGGGUCAGAGCUGUUUUGCAUACUGCAUGCACAGAUUAGGUGAAAGUAGCCUGUUUAAACUGUCACUUGAUAUUAUAUUAGCUAUUAGAUAAAUGGUUCAGAACUGUGCAGCACAGCAGAUAUUUGGCAGUGCCUCUCCAUCCUUGCCUUGUGCUGUGGCAGGAUCCAGGACUCGCUUCUUUAGGGAUAACUAGAUACUCUUAGGCAGUGAGAGAGCUGGACCACUGGCUGGUCUGUUGAAAUUGCCAUCAAACACCACAAUGCCUGGUGCUUUUCAUUUCCAGGGAACCUUUGAAGUCAGUCUCUGAGAAGGAGCUGGAUAGGAGGCAGUGGAUCUAAAUUGCUGGUCCUCAGAAUUUGGGGACUGUCACGCUGGGUCAUGGGCAGUCAGGUGACAAGGUUGUUGCGAAAAGGCAAAACCAGACGUUGUGUUAAAUAGAAGGACGUGGGUGGACAGCGAGGGUGAAGACAGAAGCUGUAUCUUGUGAACUAAGCCAGAGAAGAGCUGGCCGUUGUGCUAUGGGAAGAUCCCGGGCUAUGGAAUCAGUCUCAUGUGGACUGGGAUCUGGUUCCAUCACUCACUGGCCACGUGACUUGUUUGUAAGUUACCCGGGUCAUGGCUUGGAACAUAGAACAUGCUUUGUAUGUGCUGGUCCCGGCAUAAGUCUGACCCUGAACUAGACGGUGCCCAUUCGUGAGUUGAGCAUGAAUACUGACCCAAACACAGACAAGAUGUUUGUCAGUACUUAUCCCAGUGUGUGGAAGGUGCAGGCAGCCUGGGGUCCCCAUAGGAAAGGCAGAAACAAGUAAGUGAGGCUACUGUUUGCUACAUGGACAUACCAGGGUUGCAUUUUAGCUAUAAACUCCCACUUCAGUUAGCUGCACUUUGGGAUGCUCGUUGAAGAGAAGCUAGAUUCUACCUGCUCAGGAGGUUUGUAACAAAGCAACCUCAGCCAUCUGCCAUCAGAGAUGCCCCCCGAUCUGAUCACCCUUCACGCUUUCUGUUGACAUUCCUCAUGCCACUCAGUAUUUCUGUCGUGUGUAAUAGUGCCUGGGGUUUUUCAAAUCUCUCCUACACCAAAUCGCUGUGUGAUCCAGAUUUGACGCAUCCAGAGCAUCCUCUGUAGUCCCUGGAUAUAAUAGGAGCUCAACAAAUGUGUAUUGAAUGAAUAUAGUUUGCUAAAAGGUUGGAGGAUGAUUUUGUUGAUCUUAGUUUAGUUCCUCCUAUAUCAUCUCUAUUUUAAGUGUCUGGGGGAAAUGAGACUUAAGUCAAUGGCCCAAGAGUAUGUAUUUCCUGUGAUAUCAACUCUCAAAUCUUUGAGGUAUCAUGGCUAGAAAUUCUGGAGUCCAGAGACAAGACUGCCCUGAAUAUUAGAGCAGAAGCCCCAUGGGCAGUGCCAAAGGGCACUGGUCUCUCCCCACGUAUUAGUGAGGGUCUCAGUUGCAUUUCCUUUGCUAACCUAGAGUUCAGGAGCUAC